UGCAGUCGAGCGGACCGACGGGAGCUUGCUCCCUUAGGUCAGCGGCGGACGGGUGAGUAACACGUGGGUAACCUGCCUGUAAGACUGGGAUAACUCCGGGAAACCGGGGCUAAUACCGGAUGCUUGAUUGAACCGCAUGGUUCAAUUAUAAAAGGUGGCUUUUAGCUACCACUUACAGAUGGACCCGCGGCGCAUUAGCUAGUUGGUGAGGUAACGGCUCACCAAGGCAACGAUGCGUAGCCGACCUGAGAGGGUGAUCGGCCACACUGGGACUGAGACACGGCCCAGACUCCUACGGGAGGCAGCAGUAGGGAAUCUUCCGCAAUGGACGAAAGUCUGACGGAGCAACGCCGCGUGAGUGAUGAAGGUUUUCGGAUCGUAAAACUCUGUUGUUAGGGAAGAACAAGUACCGUUCGAAUAGGGCGGUACCUUGACGGUACCUAACCAGAAAGCCACGGCUAACUACGUGCCAGCAGCCGCGGUAAUACGUAGGUGGCAAGCGUUGUCCGGAAUUAUUGGGCGUAAAGCGCGCGCAGGCGGUUUCUUAAGUCUGAUGUGAAAGCCCCCGGCUCAACCGGGGAGGGUCAUUGGAAACUGGGGAACUUGAGUGCAGAAGAAGAGAGUGGAAUUCCACGUGUAGCGGUGAAAUGCGUAGAGAUGUGGAGGAACACCA
rnacentral:rRNA from 1 species